rnacentral:rRNA from 1 species
AACGAACGCUGGCGGCGCGCCUAACACAUGCAAGUCGAACGAGAAGCUGUAGCAAUACAGUUGUACAGUGGCGAACGGGUGAGGAAUACAUGGGUGACCUACCCUCGAGUGGGGAAUAACCAGCCGAAAGGUUGGCUAAUACCGCGUACGUUUCCCAGUCUGCGGAUUGGGAAGGAAAGCGAUGCCGUGGGUAUCGCGCUCAAGGUUGGGCUCAUGUCCUAUCAGCUGUUGGUGAGGUAACGGCUCACCAAGGCAACGACGGGUAGCUGGUCUGAGAGGACGAUCAGCCACAC